CCAAGAGUUUCUUAUCAACACAAUCAAAGUUUAAACAGUCAGAGUGGAGGUUUUAGCUCAGAUUUGGAUUGUGAAAAACUGUCCCUUCACAGCUGUGUGUACUUGACCUCAGCAUCUCACAUCGAGCAAGGAAAUUAAAAACAUUGAGAAAAUUACUCAAUUGAGUCAAACCAAGGCUGGGAGAGGGUUGAAAUGAGUUCAGGAGGUGCAAACACCACCAGUGUCUUUCCAGAGACCUGGAAAACUUAGCACACAACCCAGGGGCUGGCACAGGGGCUGGCAACACCAGCGAGCCUACCCAGCAGCAGCAGCCAUGGCCAAAGAUGCAUCCACAGCCCCACAUUGGUGCUGCCAGGGGAAACAAGAGCAGCCAGAGGUGUGGUGGGAGAUGAUGGGUGGUUUUAUUACACAAGGUGUGACAUCCUCCCUCCAUCCCCACUGGAACAGGGAUGAAUGAGGGUUUAACACCAUCCUUUUAUCCAUUCCAUGGCUGUUCCUCCUGCUGCUUUCCCCCAUGCCUCUCCCCCGCCAUUUUCCCAUCCAUGCCCAAUGUUUCUGUGUGGAGCCUCAGUGCAUUGCCUGAAGUGAGGACCAUCCAUAGGGCUGGGUGCUGCUGGAGAGGUCAGCCCAGCAGGGACAGGACUGGGAAGCCACUGGUGUCCUUGGGGAGCAAAGCCUGCGGCAAUGGGGACAUGUAUCCCUUGUCAGGGAUGGGCUUGGUCCCCUGAUGGGCUUUCAUCCCCCUCUGUCUCUAUGCAGGGAUGAUGGACCCAUCCCUGCCUCCCCAGGCUGAUGAUGGAUCCAUGGAGAGUUGCUGGAUCCUUGGGAAGAUGACAGAUCCAUCCUUGUCUCCACAGGGAGAUGAUGGAUCCAUGGAGAGUUGCUGGAUCCUUGGGAAGAUGACGGAUCCAUCCUUGUCUCCACAGGGAGAUGAUGGAUCCAUGGAGAGUUGCUGGAUCCUUGGGAAGAUGAUGGAUCCAUCCCUGCCUCCCCAGGGUGAUGAUGGAUCCAUCCCUAUCUCCACAGGGACAUGGUGGAUCCAUCCCUGUCUCCACAGGGAGAUGAUGGAUCCAUGGAGAGUUUCUUGAUCCUUGGGAAGAUGAUGGAUCCAUUCCUGACUCCACAGGGACAUGAUGGAUCUGUCCCUCGCCUCCACAGGGUGCUGAUGGCUGCACGAGGAGAUGACAGGUCCAUCCCCGGUGUCCUUGGGGUGACAUGGGACAGCUGCCCAGCUAGCAGCUCCCUCCCGUGCACAGGAAGAUGC
rnacentral:lncRNA from 1 species